AUCUAAAUGUUGAAUCACUUUGCUUUCCCACCAGCUGCUUAUAUGAGUAGUCUGUUUUCUCACCCUCGCAAUAAUUAAAUUCUCAACAGCACUAGCCUGGUGAAUUACAGUAUCUUGCUUAAAUUUAAGAUUCUUUGGCUACUGAUUUAUUGGCCAUAUAUAUUUUUAUUUUUACCAUUUUGAUGAAUUAUCCUGUAUCCUUUCACAUUGUUUCAAUCUGCAACCCUGACUUCUGGACUCAAGAUUAGAAUUGAGUUUCAAUCUUGACUCUGCUACUAAACUUGAUAAAACGUGGCCUUUUGACGCCUCUGUUUUUUCAUCUAGAUAAUCUCAAAUAUAUUUUGGUGUUGAUAUCAGUUUGAUAUAUUCAAAAAGCAAAUUUAUGUUACUCCAUUGUUUUCACUCCAUACUGUCAUCCCUUGGUCUAGAGGGAAAUGUGUAUUUUGGGCGCCUGUUCACUGUCAUCUCUUGCUAUGUGUGGCAGUGCCAGCUAUUCGGCUGAGAGAUGAAUUCCGUCAACAGAGUAUGUGGUAGUUCUAGCAGACACCAAUAUUGUGCUUCAUUGGAUUAUGUCAACCAAGUAUAUGGUUUAGUGUUUGCUAGCAUAUUACUGACAAGCUCUACUGUGUUUUUGGUCUUACAGUAAACAUUACUCAAGUGGAGAAACCCAGUAGCUAUUUUCCAACUAUGGAAAAUUGAGUGAAUGAGCUUAAGUGAUUUGUAAAAUGGUCUGCUUAUCUCAGAGAAUGUCUUGAAGAACAAAUGGGAAAAUAUUUUAUUAUGGAGUGUAAUAACAAAUAUAAAUUGUGCCUGGUCUGAAUUUUGUCACUGUAGUUGAUCUGUGAUGAUUUUCAAUGUUGAGUGAGUAUGAAGAGUGGCAUGUUUUACAUGAACUAAUUUCCUCCAAGUUGUCUAUUGUCAUUAACUUGGUGUAAACUCACCAUUGGUUUCCUGCAUUCUUGUGGAUGUGGUUUUAGAGCUCUGUCAUUAGUAUGUUGGCAAGGUUGGUGGAGGCAUGCAAACUGACCUGAAGACAUUCUCAGAGAACCAGGAGUAGGAUCUGAGCUUCAGGCAACUGCAUUCUUACAUCCUAGUACCAGUGAUGAAAAAGGUGUGAAGAUAUGUCACCGAUACGAACCGAAACCACACUUUGAUCAUGAAAUAGCUUUAAUUCAAAAUACAGACUGUGAGUAAUCUGUAGUGUGGCUUAUUCACACUCAUUCACAUUCAUACACAGAGGAAACAGCAUAAUUGAUAUCAUCUUUCAACAAAAGAACAAUCCUGCCACAGUUUUGCUGUCUAAAAAGAAAAAUACAAGAAAGCAAGCAAGAAAAUCUUUUGAAUCAAAGUUUUUAAAAGAUGUGUGAAGAGACAAUGAAGAGUACCAUUUGGAUUCUAUUACAGAAAAAAUGAGAGGAGAGAGAAAAUGAGAAGUGAGAGAAAAAAGCCAAUGAUUGUACUCCUGGGAACAUCAACAUUUAAGAGGUAGAUGGAGAAUGGGGACCUGACAAAGAACAGAGAGAGAAAAUGGUCAGGAAUAGAAGAACCAUGAAACCAUGAAGGUGUGAUGUCUUGAUACACUCCUGGAAGAGGAAUCGGAGUUUGAAGGUCUGCACGUUUUGAGACGCAAUGUAGUGCAAUAUAAUGUGGUUAGU